UGUGCGGCCAGUCCGUGGCGAAGUCAUCGUUUGUGCGGCCAGUCCGUGGCGAAGUCAUCGUUUGUGCGGCCAGUCCGUGGCGAAGUCAUCGUUUGUGCGGCCAGUCCGUGGCGAAGUCAUCGUUUGUGCGGCCAGUCCGUGGCGAAGUCAUCGUUUGUGCGGCCAGUCCGUGGCGAAGUCAUCGUCUGUCUGCUAUCUAAUCUAAUAAAUAAAACUAAUUUCUUGUUGGUCACAGUCUUGUAUGCGUUUAAAUUUUUUUUGAUGCAAGAAUCAAUUUAUGUCCAAGGAAGUCUGUGCGGCGUCAUCAUCGCCGUCUUUUCCCGGGAAUGUCGCCACAGACACCCAGUUCUUUAAUCAUAAAUUAUUAUAAUAAUAAUAAUAUAAAUUAAUAUAAUAACACAAUGGUGAUUGAGCCUAUUAUCUAAUUCGGCGAUAGAUAGUAACUUAACAAACAUUUAUUUUAAUGAAAAUCUUCAUUAAGAAAAGUUUUCUCCUUCUUCUCAUUCUUCUCAUUCUUAUUUUUCCUGCCGCCUAUCCCACUAACAACAUGUCUCCCCAUUGGACAUUUUACCGACACCAGCCAAAUCCUCACCCUCACGACCCAAUCAAAAACUCGCAUACACACGCAAAAUUCCCAUACCUUUUUAUUCUGAAACAUUUCCUGUUUGAACUGCUAACCUGCAUGUGGCCUAGUGGGUAAGGUUACAGUCUUGGGAACAUGGGGUAGUAUUGUUUUUUAUUAGAUUACUUUAAACAGCAACAUUCUUUUAGAUUCUGAAAUUUGACAUUGUGAUUUUUUUUUUUUUUUUUUGUGAUAUCUUAUAAGGUGAAAGUACUUACAGCUGUCCUGAUGGUGAGAGUGGAAUCAGCACAGCCAUGUUGAUGUCCGUGUCCUGUCUUGCUUGACGGAUCUUCCUCUGGUUCUGGGACAUGAGACUCCUGAGACAAGCAACCAUUUCAUCCUUUAGGUGGCGGAAUUGGAGGUCCGUGGUACUGAGAUGAUUACAGAAACCCCAAACUACACCAUGUCGGGAUACCUUCGAUGGUACCAUGCGGCAUCUUUGGCAACAACACUGGCUGUCCUAAGACACUGUGGCAUUGGAGGACUUAUCACAGAUCACAACAUUGAGGAGACCAAAGGUAAAAGAGGGCACAAUCAAGUCUGACAGAGUGUAACAGUGGCUCCGUCCCUCAGGCUCGUCCAGAGUGAUACAAAUGUCGAAGCUGAAGAGGUUCCGUCCAGCUGUGGCACAACACUGUGAGGAGCUUGUUGAAAAGAUGGACAAGAUCGCUACAGCAAGUAGACAAGGACUCUGAUAUGAAGGAAUUUGUACCUGCAAACUGAAAUCUGUAAUAGUGAAUUGUUUUCACACCAGUAUGUCUUGCAUUUUUUAUCUGCAUAACUGACAGCACGUCAUGGUUUAUUCUUUACUAAUUUCACUGUCUCUGUAUGAAAUAUUCAGAGUCAAAAUUACUCUGAAAUAUUCACAAUCAAAAUUCUGCAGAAGCAUUCUUUCAGCCGCUUUUGGGCAGAGAAGCCCUUUGCUGUGACAUCGAAUUUUGCUUGUAGGCUAUACCAGAGGUUUAUUUUCCUCUUUAUUGUUUAAUAUCACCUCUCAUGCACUUUAAAUCAUGUUAUAAAAAUGUGCAUUUUUAGUAGCUUUCUGGAUCAUGUUGUUAAAGUCCUGGUGCUGGCCAAAGCAGAUGGCCUCCCCCUCUAAGCCGGGUUCUGCUCAAGGUUUCUUCCUUUUAUAAAGGGAGUUUUUCCUUGCCACUGUCGCCAUAGGCUUGCUCUGAGGGGGUUUCAGGCCCAGGAUAAUCUUACAGUAUUUUCCUUACUUGCUCACAUUAUAUUUGUACAUUAUUGUUGGGAAAUGCAGUAUCCAUUCUCAUUCCUCGUUUUAGUAAGGUUUUUGAGGAUUACUCGCUUUGGAGUUCAUUUGAGUGAGAAAAUUAACCUGUACCAGAGUUUCGAGGAAGUGAUGCACAAUACAAUGCCAAGCGUCUGCAGACGACACUGAUCUUGAAAGAGUAUUUUUUCAAUAAAUAUAUUUUAAAAACUUUGAACACUGUCCAGUUAUAUUUAUGUACAUUAGGAACUGUAGCCUGUGCAGUACGUUGUGACUGUCUUUUAUUGUUUUUGGUGAUUAAUGUGAACUUUGAAAAUAAAACAUUUUCUUUUUAAAAUCA